rnacentral:rRNA from 1 species
AUCAAUAAGCGGAGGAAAAGCAACUAACAAGGAUUCCCCCAGUAACGGCGAGCGAAGUGGGAAGAGUUCGAGCAGUUAAUCUCUGGCGCUCUGUUGCCAGCGAAUUGUGGCCGGUAGAGGCGACUGCACCCGAGGUAUCUCCGCUCAAGUUGACCUGGAAAGGCACGUCGAAGAGGGUGAUAGCCCCGUGCGGGGCGGAGGURCCGACGGUAUGCUACCGUCUUCCGAGAGUCGGGUUGUUUGAGAUUGCAGCCCAAAGUGGGUGGUAAACUCCAUCUAAAACCAAAUAACGGCACGAGACCGAUAGCGAACAAGUACCGUGAGGGAAAGGUGAAAAGCACUUUGGAAAGAGAGUUAAAGAGACCGCGAAACCGUUAGGAGGGAAACGCAUGCAGCCGAACGGGCCCUCGUCGGGUUCACGGGGCUGGGCCGUAUCCUCCGGCGUGUGCGGACACUCUUACGAGGUCYGCCGUGCCGGCGAGUGCGACGCACCUCUGCACUCCCGACGUAUCGGGCCGGCCAAGCGCGGUGGUGUCCAGGGCGAAGAGAGCCGUCGGGUAGGUGGUGCAGCCGGUUGCAAAACCGGAGGCGAACUUAUAGCCGGCGGUUUGGCACGUCCCGGGUCCACUGAGGAGAGCGGUGGCUUGUUCCACCCCAGCAGCACAGGCCUCCUUCUGGAGGCCGGGGCGCCUCUGUUCGUUCGGCCUCUGCGCCGCGAGACUGCGUGUCAGUGUCCGGCGUCGUUGUGCAGGUCCGGGCGGGGGAUGUCUCACGCCUUGUGCUGUGGUCGCUUGGCGAGCCGUCGGCUCCAUUCGA